CAUUUGAAUCUGUGGGAAAGAAGGUUGGCAUUAUGUUGUUCUGAAAGCAGAUGCUGUACAUGACAAGCCCUUUAGACUGUCUUUUUUGCAAAAAGAAUUUGACAGACAUAUGGAAGGAGUCGCUGUGAAAGAAGCACAAGAUACUCUUUCAAAUUUGUGGACUUAUAAAAUUUACUAUUUGUGCUAGACUUGAGUGAAUAAUUCUCACAGAAUGAUUUAUCUGGUGUAUUCAGCUGCUCUUUCUUCUUGUGGAACAGGCUGUAUUUUCCCACUAAAUUAUUAUUAUUUGUUGAUUCUUUGAAUGUUGUUUAAACUUGUAUGAGUUGAUCCCAAGAAUGUUUCCUCCGCUAUUUGAUACUUUUCAGACUGUACGAAGUAUUUGAGCACAUAAAACACAAGAAGAAGCUGUGCUGAAGAUGGUACUGACUGCACAUGCAAGCCCUUCCAGUCUGGGAUCUUCUGACCAUCAGAGACACAGUGUUUGUGGAAUACCCUGUCACAUGUCACAGUUUUAUACAGGAAUCAAGAAAGCAAAGUUGAAGGAACCACAGGGCUGAAGCUUUGAGUCUGAUUGCCGUGUCUGAUGGAACUUUUGGUCUUCCUGUCUCUCAAUGCUUCUGAUCCGUUUGCAUGUCAGUGGCAGGUAACAAUACUUUUAUUUCUCAUAAUUGCUGGUUCUGCCCACUUCACUGUCUCUAUCCAACUCCUGCCUUCUUUAGUAAUAACACUAAUUAAGCUCUGCACCUUGGAUGUUUUGGUUGCUGUUUUCAUGGCUGAAAACAUGAUUCUUAAAUGCAUUUGAGUCUGAGGAGAAGGGGCAUGCUUGCUGGUUUCAAAGAAUGAAAGGUCCUUUCUUUUGCAACCCACAGAAUAAAGUUGCCUCAGUUACAUUUUGCUCUUGUUCUGUUUUACCAAUAUUGCAAAACCCUGCAUCAUUUAUAUUUUAGAUAUUUUUAAAAUAUUGAUGUGUCUUCCUAAGUGUAAUAACCUUUUUUCUUUUUGAUUUCACAAUUUUAGUUUGACCUAGUCCAGCUAUACGUUACCUCAGAUCCCUAGUAUCCUUAAGACUACUUUUUUUCUAAUUUUCUUUAUAGUUAAGCUGUGGAUUGAAUCUCUUCCGCGUACUUAAGCUGUUCACAUAGAAUUCAGUCUUACAGCUCUAGCCACAUAUUUCUAUAAAGCUAUCCUUUAACAUAUUAAGGAUAUGAAUCAUCCUGUUUAAGAAAACUCAAAAUAAGAAAUCAUUUAACAAUAGAACAACAAUAACAUCAACAAAAUAACCUAAAUUGACUUUGUAAUGCAUCAGCAGCCCCAUCUCUCCACUAUCAAUAUCACAAGUUAAAGGGAAACUGGGGUUGUGAAUUAUUUUCUUUUUCAAAUACAUCCUAAGAAAACCAACCCUGGGACCUGAUUAUAUGUAAAAAAAAAAAAAAAAAAGAAAAAAAAUUAACACAGUAGUGAAUAUUACGUUUUGCAGUCAGGUCAGGAGCAAGAAAGAGUGAAUUGAUUAAUUUUUAUAUAUAUAUACAUAUAUCAAGCAUUCCUUAUAGAUUUUUCUCUAUGUGCUUUCCUGAUAAAUGCUCUGCUCUGCAGACGUAAGAAUAACUACAAAUCUGGAAAAUAUGGACUAUAUGGAAAAAUAAAUACAUUUUGAUUUUUAGCUUACAUUUAGACAAAUGGGUACACAGAAAAUAGAAAUCUACAACCUAGCUGUAAAUAAUAAGAAGGAAGGCAUACAUAAAUUAAAAUUAACAAGAGUACCAAGAUUAACAGCAAGCAUCAUAUAUUGUUAUUAGAAGAAAGUGAAAGAAAAUGUCAGUGUAGUACUUCAGAAAAUUAUUCUGUAAGUGCAAGAGGAUGGGGUGAUGCUUUUUUCCACUCACUGGCAGAUUGUGCAAAUUUUUCUGACUUUGAUGUCUCCUUGUUUCUAAUAAUUUGUGUUUUAAUUUCUUGUCUAAGUGUUUUUUGCAUGUGUGUUCUAAAACAAGGAGCUAUAAUAUUGCUUUGAAUAAAAUAUAGGCUGUUCUGAUUAUUCAUAACCCCCUUUUCAUUUAUUUCAGUGAGAGAUGGUAUAUUAUAUUAAAAAUCUCCUUGGGUUUUGAAGACUGUCAAAGGUUUUGACUGCAGGGUGACAAUAAAACCGUGGCAGAUGUAUUGUUAACCUCCUCUCCACCCCCCCUUUUUCCUUCCCCCCCCCCACCUCUUGCUACUCAGGACAGGUGCUUGGGAGGGAAAGAAGGACAGAGAGAAGAGAGUUGGAAAAAUCAAAAAUGUUUUACUAAUGCUACUAAUAAGAAUAGAGAAAAUAAUACAAAAGAUACAAAACCAAUCUUGAAAGUCUCAGCAACUGCAGUGCCAGAGCCCAAAGUCCUGGAUUGGACUCUGCAGCAAACCACAGCUGGAUUCAGUCUGUCACUAGGCCUCAGUUCGCAGGGACGACUCACAAGAUCCUCUCUUAAUGUCAGCCAUAAGCAAAAAGAAAAACGGAAGAGAUCCUCAUGAUCUCCCACUUUUAUAUGAAGUAUUCACGUGAAUGGAAUGUUAUACUUCAUUCGUCAGUUUCUUGGUCACCUGUUUCUCAUUGCCCCUCUCGUGAGAGGUGCAUCCAUUUGUUAUCAAUAACUUCGCAUUCCAUUGCUAUGUUCACCAAAACAUGUAUCUGGUUCUCCAGGAAAAUGCAGCUAAUAUGAAAGCUUUAGCUGGCAGGCAAAUUCAGCAGAAGAGAAACUUGUUUUUUAACAAAACCAGGACAAAGACCAAGGGAUGAAGUUCUUGCAGAGAAAAGUCAAGUGAUUCAAGUACCAAUGUUUUAUGGCCAGAAACACUCCUAAGCAGACAGGACUGCCACCAGCCUGCAAGAAAACAAGUAGAUGAUGGAUUUGAAGAAGGGGCAGGCAAAAGAGCAACAG